AUUGAACGCUGGCGGCGUGCCUAACACAUGCAAGUCGAGCGGUAACAGGUGUAGCAAUACAUGCUGACGAGCGGCGAACGGGUGAGUAAUGCUUCGGAAUCUACCCAAUGGUGGGGAAUAACCAGCCGAAAGGUUGGCUAAUACCGCAUACGUCCCACGGGAGAAAGCAGGGGAUCGCAAGACCUUGCGCCAAUGGAUGAGCCGAAGUCGGAUUAGCUGGUUGGAGGGUAACGGCCUACCAAGGCGACGAUCCGUAGCUGGUCUGAGAGGACGACCAGCCACACUGGGACUGAGACACGGCCCAGACUCCUACGGGAGGCAGCAGUGGGGAAUAUUGGACAAUGGGGGAAACCCUGAUCCAGCGACGCCGCGUGUGUGAAGAAGGCCUGC
rnacentral:rRNA from 1 species